UAGGGAAUCUUCCGCAAUGGGCGAAAGCCUGACGGAGCAACGCCGCGUGAGUGAUGAAGGUCUUCGGAUCGUAAAACUCUGUUAUUAGGGAAGAACAAAUGUGUAAGUAACUAUGCACGUCUUGACGGUACCUAAUCAGAAAGCCACGGCUAACUACGUGCCAGCAGCCGCGGUAAUACGUAGGUGGCAAGCGUUAUCCGGAAUUAUUGGGCGUAAAGCGCGCGUAGGCGGUUUUUUAAGUCUGAUGUGAAAGCCCACGGCUCAACCGUGGAGGGUCAUUGGAAACUGGAAAACUUGAGUGCAGAAGAGGAAAGUGGAAUUCCAUGUGUAGCGGUGAAGUGCGCAGAGAUAUGGAGGAACACCAGUGGCGAAGGCGACUUUCUGGUAUGUAACUGACGCUGAUGUGCGAAAGCGUGGGGAUCAAACAGG
rnacentral:rRNA from 1 species